rnacentral:misc_RNA from 1 species
GAUGAAGAACGUAGCGAAAUGCGAUAAGUAAUGUGAAUUGCAGAAUUCAGUGAAUCAUCGAAUCUUUGAACGCACAUUGCGCCCCCUGGUAUUCCGGGGGGCAUGCCUGUUCGAGCGUCAUUUCAACCCUCAAGCUCUGCUUGGUAUUGGGCGUCGCCGGGGAGUCUCCCCGGCGUGCCUCAAAGCCAUCGGCGGUGGUGCCUUUCUCUAAGCGUGGUAGAAUUUAUAUUCGCUUCUGAGUUGGGCUUCGCCUGCCGGACAAACCGGGCCCUCGCGGCCCACCUUCUCAGGUUGACCUCGGAUCAGGUAGGGAUACCCGCUGAACUUAAGCAUAUCAAUAAGCGGAGGA